UACUGCGUACUGCACCGAUACCGCGCCGCCAAGUGGGGAAGCGGCCUAUAGAACCGGCACAGAGAACCAGUAUUUUGCGUCAUGAGUUGCCGCCGUUUUGGCAUCAAACUAUAGAAGCGGAGCGUGGGUCUCGCGACGUAAACGCGUAAGCGCCAUUAUGCGGCGCUUACGUUUUGGUCGCGUGAUACAGGUUGUGAUUGCCACAAUUUCAUUAUUGGGUAUGGCUUCUCUAUAGUAAUUAUAACUCAACGGCUCGGGCAUAAGUUCUAGUUAUGGACGGUAUAGAAAGGACGACAAUCUCUUAUGGCAGAACUAUUGCAAAAUUGACCAGCUUUCAGCUGUAAAUAAUAGUUCCUAAUCUCUCCGGUGGCGCUAGUUAGGCUCUGGGACAUGAGUAUAACAUGAAUAAGGCAACAAAUAACCCGACCAAAUUACGUAGUUUGUUUUUGGUAGUAUUUCGGUGUAUGGUGGCGCCGCCUAAUUACUGUUUUUUGAUGGACACUUUUCAUACAUAGAGAUUUGGCUCCUUUAUAUAGUCUCCAUGUUCUAGUGUUAAAAUAUGACGCGACAAUUGUCACUUACUGAACACUUGUCAGGUAAAAUGGCAGUUGUCAGUCACAAAUAUCUGUCACAUUUAGACACCAGAACUUAUAGAGGAUACACACAUAGACUUUGCAAUGUGUGUAACCUCGAUUUUUAUAAAUCAUCAUUAAAUCUCAUUCGUGUGAUAGGCCAUGGUGGAAUGAGAAAAGUGAGCCAUUUUUGAGUUAAAAUUGACUUUAAAAUAACAUUAUCGGACUAUUAUUAUUACUGGGCACAGACCUCUUUAAAUUAACCACACAAAAUACAUUACUGAUAUAAUGAAAAUGAAAAAUGUUUUUUUUUAUUACAUUAAUAAAAUGUUACAUUACAAGGGAGUAGGUUGGGACUUCCUAUAUUAAGUUUAGUAUAUUAUACCUGUAUCAGGAAGUCCCGCUCCUCCAUAGCAACAAGUUGUAGUUUAACAAAAACAAUAUUACCUUGUAUAUAAAAAUAAAAUGGUGGAAAUGAUCUAGAUAAAAACAAUAUAAGUUUCUCGCUCAAAAAUGUUACAGACACCAAUGUCCAAGGUCUUACAUUUCUCAUUGCACAACGUAAAGCUUUAAACCAUCGUGACGUCACUACACCCUAAAAUGUGUUUGUAUUUCCUAGAGACUGAAGUGACAGGUGUCGAAAAAUAAUAAAAUUACCAUGUUCAAUUGUUCAAAUUAUACUGAAAUGGGUUUGAUGGGUUAAACCCAUUUCAGAAAUGUUAGUUGCUAAAAACUUACAAAUUAUAUCCUUAAAAUGUCAGCAAAAAAGUUAAAAAAAAAAAACUGGUAACAUGAAAUAUCAUUUCUGUCUCUAGAAUUUAUAAGCGAAUUUCACCAGUAACAUAAGUACAACGACUGCAAAUACUGCCAUCUUAUUAGUAUUCACAUAAACCACAAGCUCUUUACACUUUACACUCCUACCCGCAUUAAAAUAAGGUUCAGAAUUUGGUUGUAAUAAAUACCUCCCGCGGGCCAAUUUUGUAGUCUUCCCGAAUUAAUAUUAACCACUUAGAUUCGCGGCGAGAGCUGUGUGUGAGAAUAUAAUUAAACUAAACUUAUUGACCUACUUUUUAUAUCACUAUGGCAAUGUUAGUGUGGCGACCUAGUAGUUAGACCAAAAAAAGUCUGCAACGAUUUUGAUAGCAUUCGCAGUGCAAGUGUUAUUUUAAACGUCAAACUUCUGUGAAAUUAUGACGUGCGUAUAAUGCUAUCAAAAUCGUAGCAGACUUUUCUUGGUCUAACUCUAGUGACAAUUUCGGUUACUGACCUGCCCAAUCUACACAUUGCUGCCACCAUAAACUAAAAGAUUGAUUUUCAACUUUUUUUUUAAAUUCUGAUACAACUUCCAACAUUUUUAUGGAAUCGUGCUUUCAAAAUAAAAUAUUAUUUUAAUCUUACACAUGUUAAGUUCUCGCCUGUGUGCGAAUCGUGGAGUGCUUUAAGUGUGUGGGUAGCUUAUUGUUCAGUCAAAAUACAGGCUACGGUGACGGCUUACCACGGCUCCUUGCUUGUUUGCCACUGAAAAAUGACUGCAGUGAACUACCCACAUUAUAUUAAAAGGCUGGGUAUACCUACUAAGAAUUUUCAUAAUUCCGGUUUUAACCAGCUCAAAUAGGUACAGUUUUACUCAAAACUGGUUUAGGAUAGUUUAGUGAAGGUUAAAGGUCCUUUAAUAUGUGUCGUGUUGCAGAAAAACUAAUAUUAAAAUAGGAAAAGAGGUUUUUUAAUUGGUUAACCAGAUUUUAAAUACUUAGUUUUAGAGCCACCCCACACUAGCGUCUCCAGCGUUGGCGUCUAGUUUAUUCUAUGGCUGCUUGACGCAACGUUGGCGCAACUGUACAGCAAUUUUCCAAAAGACGCUACUGUAGGGUGGCCCUUAUCUCGCAAUUUUAUUUUAUUUAAUAUGAAAGGAACAAGAUACAUUUCGUUACGUAUUAAUAUCGUUACAAAAACGUUAUUUCUUAUAACGCAUUAUUUUUUACAGAAUCCGUUUUUAUACAAUAUAGUAUGAUUAUAUUGGUAUUUAAAUAGUUUAUUGAAACCCUAAGCACAACUUUUGAUAGCAUUUACAGUUUUUUGUAAACGGUUUAGUGAAUUAAAGUCCUUUCGCCGCGUACGCAUUGGAUGUUUUUCUGUCUCGGUUUCUCUUUGGCAUUCAGUAUUGCGUUAAAGGGAGACAGAUGACAAAAUAACCCUUUGCGUGUUAGUUGAAUGGACGAAUAACGACGACGACUAUAUAAGUUGUAUAGCUACAUUUCUGUGUAAUAUACAUUAUAUUAUAAUAUUAUAAAAUAAUUAAUCUAUAACCGUUUUACCAUCUGUGAGUGAAACACAUUUUUAAAAAUUAAAGUCAUGUGAACUAUGAGAUCUUAGAAUAAUUAAGCGUAAUUAUGUAUUUUAUUCAUAUAUUAAUAUUAUUAACUGAGACAGGUUCGGUCUGCCACGACCAAAAAUAACACCAAACAUUUAACAGUUUUAUAGUCUAUUAAACAAAUAUGUGUUAAAAUAUGUUUUUGUUUACGUUCACAGCUUUUAACAUUAUUAUAGUGGAAGUGUAAAAAAAUCUAUAAAAUUAAGCUACAGAAAUAAAAUGUGAUUCAUAAGUCAAAUAUAUAGUAAUAUAUAGUUGUAUAACAUAUGUUAAAUAGGAAAUGUAUGGAUGUGUGCGUAUUAUUGUGCUUAACGGCGGGUGUUUAGACAUAUUAUUAUUACUUAUAUACAUAAACAUUAUAUAUGCACUACGGCUGGUAACUGCAUAUUCGGUAGCGUAGUUAAAUAUAUAUGAUAUAUAUAUGUAAGUAACCGUUUAAAUGGUAUAAAUAUAUAUAUAUAGGUAUGAUUAAAAUAUACAAAUA